CGGACCCGCGCGCGUGCGUACCUGGUGACUCCCGCCUGAAUAUAUAGGCGGGUAGAGGGAACGUGGGGAAGUGAAACAUCUCAGUACCCACAGGAAGAGAAAGCAACAGCGAUUCCGUGAGUAGUGGCGAGCGAAAUCGGAAGAGGCUAAACCUAGCGUGUGUGAUAGCCGGCAGGCGUUGCAUGUUGGGGGUUGUGGGACUUUUCGGAUUGUUCUGCCGAGCAGUCGACGUGACAAGAGGGUAUAGACGAACGGUUUUGAAUGGCCGGUCAUAGAGGGUGCGAACCCCGUAGUCGAAAUGCUUGUUCUUGGCGUGAAGAGUAUCCCAAGUAGCACGGGGCCCGAGAAAUCCCGUGUGAAUCUGUCAGGACCACCUGAUAA
rnacentral:ncRNA from 1 species